rnacentral:tRNA from 1 species
AGCUCGGUAGCUUAGUUGGUAAAGCGCUCGUGUAGCAUACAAGAGACCUGAGUUUGAAUCCUAGCCGAGCAC